AGAGUUUGAUCCUGGCUCAGAACGAACGCUGGCGGCAGGCCUAACACAUGCAAGUCGAACGAGAAGCUUCUUUCGGGAAGUGGAGAGUGGCGCACGGGUGAGUAACGCGUGGGGAUUUGCCUUCUGGUACGGGAUAACGUUUGGAAACGAACGCUAAUACCGUAUGAAGUCUACGGACUAAAGAUUUAUCGCCAGGAGAUGAACCCGCGUAGGAUUAGAUAGUUGGUGGGGUAAUGGCCUACCAAGUCGACGAUCUUUAGCUGGUCUGAGAGGACGAUCAGCCACACUGGAACUGAGACACGGUCCAGACUCCUACGGGAGGCAGCAGUGGGGAAUAUUGGACAAUGGGGGCAACCCUGAUCCAGCCAUGCCGCGUGAGUGAAGAAGGCCUUAGGGUUGUAAAGCUCUUUCGCUAGGGAAGAUAAUGACGGUACCUAGUAAAGAAGUCCCGGCUAACUCCGUGCCAGCAGCCGCGGUAAUACGGAGGGGACUAGCGUUGUUCGGAAUUACUGGGCGUAAAGAGUACGUAGGCGGCUAAUCAAGUUGGGUGUGAAAGCCCGGGGCUCAACCCCGGAACUGCACUCAAAACUGGCUAGCUAGAGAUCGGAAGAGGUAAGUGGAAUUCCCAGUGUAGAGGUGAAAUUCGUAGAUAUUGGGAAGAACACCAGUGGCGAAGGCGGCUUACUGGUCCGAGACUGACGCUGAGGUACGAAAGCGUGGGGAGCAAACAGGAUUAGAUACCCUGGUAGUCCACGCCGUAAACGAUGAAUGCUAGUUGUUGGGGGGUUUACCCUUCAGUGACGCAGCUAACGCAUUAAGCAUUCCGCCUGGGGAGUACGGUCGCAAGAUUAAAACUCAAAGGAAUUGACGGGGGAAAAAGUACUUUCAAUACAUGAUGGAUUACAACCCCAUGACCAAUGUCCAACCGGGGCGUCCAAUAUCCCAGUUGCUGGUUGACUGGUGGUUUGCACGAUCCUCGGGUCCAAUUUUGGGAACCCACCAAGUUUGCAGCUACCUUGCGACAUGCCAAUCCUUCUGGCAACAAUGUAGUCUGCCUCAAGAUGGAUAUGAGUGCGG
rnacentral:rRNA from 1 species